UACGUAGGGGGCAAGCGUUGUCCGGAAUCAUUGGGCGUAAAGAGCGUGUAGGCGGCCCGGUAAGUCCGCUGUGAAAGUCCAGGGCUCAACCCUGGAAUGCCGGUGGAAACUGUCGGGCUAGAGUCCGGAAGAGGCGAGUGGAAUUCCUGGUGUAGCGGUGAAAUGCGCAGAUAUCAGGAGGAACACCAAUGGCGAAGGCAGCUCGCUGGGACGGUACUGACGCUGAGACGCGAAAGCGUGGGUAGCAAACAGG
rnacentral:rRNA from 1 species